AUUGAACGCUGGCGGCAUGCCUUACACAUGCAAGUCGAACGGUAACAGGUCUUCGGAUGCUGACGAGUGGCGAACGGGUGAGUAAUACAUCGGAACGUGCCUAGUAGUGGGGGAUAACUACUCGAAAGAGUGGCUAAUACCGCAUGAGAUCUACGGAUGAAAGCAGGGGAUCGCAAGACCUUGUGCUACUAGAGCGGCCGAUGGCAGAGUGGGUAGUUGGUGGGAUAAAAGCUUACCAAGCCGACGAUCUGUAGCUGGUCUGAGAGGACGAUCAGCCACACUGGGACUGAGACACGGCCCAGACUCCUACGGGAGGCAGCAGUGGGGAAUUUUGGACAAUGGGCGAAAGCCUGAUCCAGCAAUGCCGCGUGCAGGAUGAAGGCCUUCGGGUUGUAAACUGCUUUUGUACGGAACGAAAAGCCCCGGGUUAAUACCCUGGGGUCAUGACGGUACCGUAAGAAUAAGCACCGGCUAACUACGUGCCAGCAGCCGCGGUAA
rnacentral:rRNA from 1 species